rnacentral:tRNA from 1 species
AACAACAUAGUUUAAAUAUGAGAAUUGAUGCUCUGCAAGCAUUAGGUGGGGUUAUCUUGUUGUUA